UACGGGGGGGGGCAAGCGUUGUUCGGAAUUACUGGGCGUAAAGGGCGCGUAGGCGGCCUGCUAAGUCGGAUGUGAAAUCCCUCGGCUCAACCGAGGAACUGCCCUCCAAACUGCUUGGCUUGAGACCGGGAGAGGUGAGUGGAAUUCCCAGUGUAGCGGUGAAAUGCGUAGAUAUUGGGAGGAACACCAGUGGCGAAGGCGGCUCACUGGACCGGUACUGACGCUGAGGCGCGAAGGCUAGGGGAGCGAACAGG
rnacentral:rRNA from 1 species